rnacentral:lncRNA from 1 species
GAGAGCCUGGCUAGGCAGGCUGGAAACAGUAGCUCUUAACGGUCCCCCGCCCGUUGGUGGCAAGGCGGCUGGACUGGAAUCCCAGCAGGCGACAUGCGAGGAGGCGGGCAGCCCAGGAGGGUUGGACACGGCAAUGUGGACCUCGCCGCUUCCACAACGAUGCUGGCUACUGAUCGCGUGCACUUCCUUGCCAAAGAAAAGAAAUUAAUGUUAUGACUGGAUGAAGACAAUUGUGAAGAAACUGCACUUUGAGGUUGUCUAUCUCUGUAUUCUGAUGGAAAAGCGUGGAGUUUAGAAGCACUGCUCACUCCUUCAGUUUCUAACAAGUUUGAGACUAUGGUUAGGUGGUGAGGAAGGCAGGCUCAGCACCCAAGCCUUGGGGAGACGCAGAAAGGGCCCAUCCCAGGCACUCAGGUGGAGAAAUUCACUGGUAUAGGUUUCCCUCAAAACACUGCUUUCACCAGUUUCCUAAAACUGAUGCUCCAGAAAGAUGCCCAGGGAGAUUCUGUCCUGCUGCGUCCGCACUGUACAGAACUGACGCUGUGCCUACGCCCGUUUCAGAAGCGUGGAGUACUUAAGAGUUAAUCUAAAAAAGCAAAUAUAAAAAUGGAUUCAAAAAAA